rnacentral:tRNA from 1 species
GCCUUUGUGGUGUAGUGGUCAGCACGCUCGACGCGUAUUCGAGAGGUCCGUGGUUCGAGUCCCGGCCUGGGCA